rnacentral:rRNA from 1 species
GAGUUUGAUCCUGGCUCAGAAUCAACGCUGGCGGCGUGCCUCAGACAUGCAAGUCGAACGAUUAAACUUUCCUUCGGGAAAGAUAUAAAGUGGCGCACGGGUGAGUAACACGUAAGUAAUCUACCUUUGGGUGAGGAAUAACAGUCGGAAACGACUGCUAAUACCGCAUAAUGCAGCGGCUCCUUAUGGAGACAGUUGUUAAAGUAUUUAUAUGCCUAAAGAGGAGCUUGCGGCAGAUUAGCUAGUUGGUAAGGUAAUGGCUUACCAAGGCGACGAUCUGUAGCCGACCUGAGAGGGUGGUCGGUCACACUGACACUGAAUAACGGGUCAGACUCCUACGGGAGGCAGCAGUCGGGAAUUUUGGGCAAUGGGCGAAAGCCUGACCCAGCAACGCCGCGUGAAGGAUGAAGUCUUUCGGGAUGUAAACUUCGUAAGAAUAGGAAGAAUAAAUGACGGUACUAUUUGUAAGGUCCGGCUAACUACGUGCCAGCAGCCGCGGUAAUACGUAGGGACCAAGCGUUGUUCGGAUUUACUGGGCGUAAAGGGCGCGUAGGCGGCGUAACAAGUCACUUGUGAAAUCUCCGAGCUUAACUCGGAACGGUCAAGUGAUACUGUUAUGCUAGAGUACAGAAAGGGUAAUCGGAAUUCUUGGUGUAGCGGUGAAAUGCGUAGAUAUCAAGAGGAACACCAGAGGCGAAGGCGGAUUACUAGGCUGAUACUGACGCUGAGGCGCGAAAGCUAGGGUAGCAAACGGGAUUAGAUACCCCGGUAGUCCUAGCCCUAAACGAUGAAUACUUGGUGUCUGGAGUUUUAAUUCUCUGGGGUGCCGUCG